ACUGGCAGUUCUGACUGCCCUGGACACUGGCCCACCCUUGGGCAAUGUUGGCUUGAAAUGGUGGAAUGGAAGCCCUGGGUCUUCCCGAAAGCUGCCCUUGCCUCUGCCAAGACAAGAGAUCGAAAAUAACCCAGGCUUGUUUUUAUGCCUCCAGUGAGUGGGCCCACGCAUUGCCUUUCCAAGCAAACCAAGUUCCUCCCGAUUCCAACUGUGGGACUUUGGGUUAGGCUGGACACACCUCUGGGCUUCCAGCCUCAGCGUCACCUCUUAGAGGAGGGUAGCUGGUACCUGCCUGGCUGAAUCGGUGCGAGGAUGCACCUUGUCUGAUGAGAACUAUUACAAGGCCCUUCUGUGACCUAAUGCCUGCCACGUGCGUAGUGUGGUGCCUGGAAGGGAGUAGAUGCCUCAAACAUUACCUGGUGGAACUGAAAUGAAUGGUUUCAACUUCAUUUAUUUAAAGGCUCCCAAAUGGAUAUCCAAAUCCCCCCAUUCCAGAAGAAUGGAGAGUUCAGCUGAGUUCCGGAAGAAUGCCAGUUUGGAUGGGACAGGCCAGCCCAGCCCACGCACCUCUAAGGCAGCAUAACAUGCCCUUCUUCCGGGGACAGACAGCCUGAAAUGAGCCCGGCACCUGUGCGUGCGUGCCUUUGGUCACCAUCCCUGACGCCUUCCUCCCUCCGCCUCUGCUGCCAGGCCUGCCCUUCAGCACCCCUCCAGGGAGCCCAGGAGCCUACCUUCUCGUCUCCAUCACUACCAGGAAGGAUGGCAGUCUGUGCCUUUGGAGAAGUCACCAGGACCUUCCAAGUUCCACCCACCUCGU